GACGAACGCUGGCGGCGUGCUUAACACAUGCAAGUCGAACGGAAAGGCCCUGCUUUUGUGGGGUGCUCGAGUGGCGAACGGGUGAGUAACACGUGAGUAACCUGCCCUUGACUUUGGGAUAACUUCAGGAAACUGGGGCUAAUACCGGAUAGGAGCUCCUGCUGCAUGGUGGGGGUUGGAAAGUUUCGGCGGUUGGGGAUGGACUCGCGGCUUAUCAGCUUGUUGGUGGGGUAGUGGCUGACCAAGGCUUUGACGGGUAGCCGGCCUGAGAGGGUGACCGGCCACAUUGGGACUGAGAUACGGCCCAGACGCCUACGGGAGGCAGCAGUGGGGAAUAUUGCACAAUGGGCGGAAGCGUGAUGCAGCAACGCCGCGUGCGGGAUGACGGCCUUCGGGUUGUAAACCGCUUUCGCCUGUGACGAAGCGUGAGUGACGGUAAUGGGUAAAGAAGCACCGGCUAACUACGUG
rnacentral:rRNA from 1 species